AUACGGAGGGUGCAAGCGUUAAUCGGAAUUACUGGGCGUAAAGCGUACGUAGGCGGUUAUUUAAGUCAGAUGUGAAAGCCCCGGGCUUAACUUGGGAACUGCAUUUGAAACUGGGUAACUAGAGUUUAGUAGAGGGGAGUGGAAUUUCAGGUGUAGCGGUGAAAUGCGUAGAGAUCUGAAGGAACAUCAGUGGCGAAGGCGACUCCCUGGACUAAAACUGACGCUGAGGUACGAAAGCGUGGGUAGCAAACAGGAUUAGAAACCCCAGUAGUCC
rnacentral:rRNA from 1 species